GCCUUUGAAUGUCAUAAGUAAUUAUUUCAGGUUAUGUUAUCAGAACCAAGCACUUGUUAUUUUCAGUGACCCUGUGUUUCCGCAUUUCUAACAGGAGUGGCUUACGAGGGCAAUCAUGGACUGCAAGGGAUCUAAUUGGCUGAAAAAAGAGAAGAAUGAAGUAUAUGCUGAAUCAGGCUCCUUGUUUCUUGAAGAUCCACUAAAGAUGCCUAGUCUUCAUAUAAAGCAUGACCCAGAACUGAAACAGGAUUUGGAUGGCACUGAACAUGAUGUAAGUUUUCACAACAGUGAUGCAUUGUGCAUGAAGUACAGUAUUAAUAUCAUGAAAUGCAAAUGGGUGCAUGCAAAUGGGGUGAUCAUAACUGAUGAAACAUUAAAACCUAGGAUAGUAGCACUUCUCCAGAAUUUUUAUAGAAUUUCAAUUGA